ACACGUCUACAUUAGAUACCCGCGUAGUCCCAGCCGUAAACUAUGCGCGUUAGGUGUAUCGGUGACCACGAGUCACCGAGGUGCCGAAGGGAAACCGUGAAACGUGCCGCCUGGGAAGUACGGUCGCAAGGCUGAAACUUAAAGGAAUUGGCGGGGAGCACCACAACAGGUGGAGCCUGCGGUUUAAUUGGACUCAACGCCGGGAAGCUCACCGGAUAAGACAGCGGAAUGAUUGCCGGGCUGAAGACUCUGCAUGACUAGCUG
rnacentral:rRNA from 1 species